GACGAACGCUGGCGGCGUGCCUAAUACAUGCAAGUCGAACGCAGUGGGGACGGGUGAGUAACACGUGGGUAACCUCCCAUCAGAGGGGAUAACACUUGGAAACAGGUGCUAAACCGAUACUGAUGGAUGGGCUCGCGGCCUAUCAGCUUGUUGGUGGGGUGAUGGCCUACCAAGGCGGUGACGGGUAGCCGGCCUGAGAGGGUGACCGGCCACAUUGGGACUGAGAUACGGCCCAGACUCCUACGGGAGGCAGCAGUAGGGAAUCUUCGGCAAUGGACGAAAGUCUGACCGAGCAACGCCGCGUGAGUGAAGAAGGUUUUCGGAUCGUAAAACUCUGUUGUUAGAGAAGCGGUAUCUAACCAGAAAGCCACGGCUAACUACGUGCCAGCAGCCGCGGUAAUAC
rnacentral:rRNA from 1 species